UCUCUAGGUUUGCUGUUAAAGGAGAGGCCGCUGGCCGGGAAUUCGCACAGUAGUCGUGGUGUCGCACACUCUCGCUUACUCUGGGGUGUGUUACCUCGUCCUUCAGGCUUGGCCCUGGGUUUCCCGCAGCAGAGUCUCAGGCGUUGGUUUUUAAAAAAAUAAUAAUUUAAUUGGAAGGUGCAGCAGCAAGGACGGACCAGUGCCUCCAAAGAGAGGUGACCGUGAACAAAGAAAUGGGUGUUGCUGUUGAGACAGCCAUGAAGACACACACACCUUCAUGAGCAAGAGCCCAAAAGACCCAACUUUAUUGUUUUAACAAACUCUUUUAUAUCUUUCUUAGGAACAUGUGUCCAUAUAUAAUUGGUUCACUCAACGUCCAGCAGUUCAUGAUUGGAUAACCUCCUCCUUCUUUGUUCUCUGCUGUAACUUCAGUAACUUUCCUCUGCUGGCAGUCUGACAGGUCCUUAGUCUUAUUUACUCCCCUCAGGACUCUCAGGCCUCUUCAAGGAUACACAGGUGUCUGCUCAAGGUGGAUGUUAAGCUCACAUUCCAAUCCCUCGGACCAGCUGAGGUUUCCCACAGAACCCUCUGAGCUUCUUAGGCGUGGAAAAAAAAGAACGUGUUUCCUUCUUUCCCUGACUGCAACUGGUGGAUCUGCCUAUGUGCUCAGUGAAAGGAACACGGGUGAUACAUGGGUGAUGCAAAAAUCAGCUUAAAAGUCAGAUCAGCGAGGCGAGUUCUGAAUCCUUUCCAGGAUACCUAAGAAAACAUAAGAUAAGUUGGGAAAUUAGCCAGCGUCCUGAAUGUGCACUCAGCCAAGUCACCUUGGAUAGAAGUGAGGACUGCAGAAUCACAACAUAAUGUCUAUUUAAAGGCAAGUACAGGGUUUUUUUUUAAGAAACUCUUCUUUUUUUAACUAGUUCAGAUUUGCAAUUGUAUUU
rnacentral:lncRNA from 1 species